CUCAUAGUCUCAUUUUGCAAACUUUGAAUUUUAUUGCGAAUUGUAAUUGAUAUUUUUGAUUUUUAUAGUUGAUAUUGUUAUUUAUAUAUAACUUGAUAAUAUUAUUAAUUAAUAUUAAAAAUUUUGUUGAUUUAUAUUUAUAAAAUGUUAAUAAUAUUAAAAUUUGUAAAACAAAUACUAUUUGGCGGGGUAGAUUCAGGGCGCCGGCGGGAGGCGGGUUAUGAGCCGGGGCGGAUCAUGGGAUAACUAUUUUCAACCCGUCACGGAUUCGGGGCGGGAGGCGAGGAGGACUUUUCGUAGUCAGGGCGGGAGGCGGGGCGGGGCUCCCGCCCCAGAUCCGCCCCGUUUGCAUCCCUAU
rnacentral:lncRNA from 1 species